UAUAGGAUUUUAGAAAGCAGGACAGGGGCAUGGUGUGAAGGAUGCCGUGACCUGCAGAAGAUGCUACUUGGUCUGUGGUAAAAGCUCUCUGUUUUAUAGGGACAAUCAGAGGCAAGGGAACUCAGACACAUUGGCCCUCAGGUGGAGGACAGAGGUUCUCUCCUUCUACCUCAUGGAUGUGAGGAUUGCGCUCAGGUCAUCAGGAGAAAUGGAUGAAGCUCAAGACAGCAAGCGGCACACUGGAGUGUUCGGUAGUAACAGGCCACAUUAACGUAAAGCCAUGGGGACACUGAACCCGCCCUUGGGAGGACCUUUCAAGCCCCAGAAGACAGCUCUACAAGUGAAGCACACACACA
rnacentral:lncRNA from 1 species